UACAGAGGGGGCAAGCGUUGUUCGGAAUUACUGGGCGUAAAGGGCGCGUAGGCGGUCUCUUAAGUCGACUGUGAAAUCCCCGGGCUCAACCCGGGAACUGCGGUUGAUACUACUGAACUAGAGUGCUAGAGGGGUUCGUGGAAUACUCGGUGUAGCGGUGAAAUGCGUAGAUAUCGAGUGGAAUAUCAGAGGCGAAGGCGACGAACUGGAUAGUAACUGACACUCAACUGCGAAAGCGUGGGUAGCAAACAGG
rnacentral:rRNA from 1 species